rnacentral:tRNA from 1 species
GGGAGUGUAGCUUGGUGGUAAUGCACAUGCUUACUAUGCACAAAGCCCUGGGAUCAAUCCCCGGCACCACCA